rnacentral:lncRNA from 1 species
UGAAGGCAAACUUUGUGGAGUGUGCUCCUCAGUCCUGCCUCACUAUCUUUUCAAAAGUUAUGCAACUGGACAAAUAGCAUUUAACAUAGGCAAUUGUUACAGUAACAACAACAAUAUAGCGCAGCUGCUGCCAGUGCUGAAAUUUCAGUAAUAUACAGAUGCAAUCAAUUAUCUGUUGCCUAACUAGGAACUCUUCCAUUCCUCUGUACCAUGCUGUUUACAGGGAAAGAUGUCACUGAAUGGUGUGUAUAUAUAUGUAACCUAUUUAGACUGCAUUUAUGUUAAGAGAAAUUGCUGCCUUGAACAAAAUGGUGAAUGCUGUAUACCGUUCCAGGUGGCACUCAGGUUUCCUUUGGCAUCAAACUGUGAUCUGGCCCACUUUCAGCAGGACCACACGACAGUUAUUCCAUUAAUAAUGUAAUAAUCUUGUCUUUCUAUAAAAUUUUUGUUCUGUGACAGAUUAUCUUGUGAUUCUAAAUAAUCUUCUUUGAGCCAUAGGGAUGUCGGUGUACCUAAUGCGUGCCUCAAAAGAAAUUGUAAUAAUUCCCACAGUAUCAGAGCAGCCUAUUUUUUUUUUUUUUUAUUUUGGGGGGGGAAUUUCCUUCUAACUUAAUAUAAGGGCAUUAAUAAAUAGAAAAUAUACUUCUCCUUUCCCCUCCACUGAUAAUUCUACCUCUCUCACCUUCUUGCAAAGGUGGGUAACAUACUUGGACCUCCUUCUCUGACAGCGAAGGAAAAUCCAUCUGCUGGCCAGCGUUGGUCACACAAGUGAUUGCAGGAACCAGUCAGUGCUUCUCAGUGGAUAACCAACCACUUUAAAAGAACUAUGCUUUGCAGCAAGUAUUUCAACUUUACAUACAACAAAUAUAAACUUCAAAAAAUCCUUUGUUUUCUUCUCCGAAUGAUCAAACAUUGCUGAAGUUCCUUGAAAGGGUCUGUACUGAAUGCUGCUGCUCUCAUUACAGGAUGAUGUAUAAAUAGGGACGGGACAGGCAUAAGGCAUCUACUCUCCAGAACAGAAUUGCAUUAUUCAAGACUCAGAUUCAGCAUGACUUCCGGUAACUUACUUGGUGAUGCCAAAUAGCUUGAAGUACAGCUCCCACUCUGUUCUCAGGUAUGUCAGACUUAAAUCAAUAGUAAGUGUUCCUUCUCAGAAAGCAGAAUGCAAAGUAUACUUGAGGAAACAUUAAGGCUAUUAUACCUAUUUAGGUAGCUGAUAGGUGAUACAGAAAUCUGUCAGAUGUGGAUGUACUCUGCCUCCCUGUAAGGUAUUUUUUCCUGCAACUGGAUUAACUUUUGUCCUACCCUUAGUUAUCUCAGUUUUACAAGACAUACAACCCUCACCAACUAAGAACACACUGCUUACUGCAAGUACCAAUUUAAAACAGAGCCCUGCACCAUCGCUACUAAGCUGACUUCAAGUCAUCUUUCCUCCCCUUUCUAUGCCCCAUACUUCAGUAUUUGGAGUAUUUCCUAUGGCAGAUGAGCCCUGCUGCUAUUACUUCUAGUAGUGUUGACACAAGCACGCACUCUCUAGUGAAAUAAACUCCAUUCUACUAUCUCCCAGAGCAAGACAUUUAUUACAUAUAUAACACAGUACUAGCAAAACAGGUGACAGACUUUCAAUACCCAAGAUCACAUUUGACAUUUUAAGGGAGGCGCUGAGGACAAAGCAGUUAAUUUGGGAGAUCACACUGGCUCAGAAUAAAUACCUUAUUACACAUCAGGUAUGUUAAGUGUCUUCAAACAAUUGUUUCUUACACAUCUUACAUGUCACAAAUGCACAAUAACUUUUUUUUUUUUCAAUGUGGUGGGGUUGUGUCACUUAACAAAUAUUGGGCUUACAGUUGUUUUCAUUUCAGAGAUGCCUGGCUUCCAACAAGCUCAUUCAUAUAAUGGUUGCUAUGUUUUGAACAAAUACAGACAAAUCAGCUAUGUGCAGGGGGAAAAAAAAAGCUCAAUGGUGUUGAAACACAAGAGUUAGGAAAAUCCUAGCUUGCUACAACUCAUUGUCUUCCCAAAGCAGUUUGUGACAAAAAAAAAUGCAAAGGUACCCUCAACUUGCUCGUAUUUGACCUAUAUGCUAGUGUUUCAUUAGCAAGAGUGUUGCAAGUUAAACAUGUGAAAUGAAUAUCUAAGAGUUCCACAGCAAAGCAUAGAAGCAAACAGUUGUAGCCUGGUGGUGUGGAUGACAGAACUUGAACUACGCAUUUGUGCAAUCGCGCCAUUUGAAGAGCAUAGCUGACGCUGCUAUUACAGGGAGGAAAACUGGAUCUAUGACUCCUCCACAGCUUGAGCUUAAUGCCAUGUUGAGAAAUUAUUACAUACAACUUAUCAAAAAAGAUCUAGGAAGGAUCACUACCAAGUAAGCUUAACUACUCAUCUACCCUUUUCCCCUUAAACAAGAGAAUUUAUCAAACUCAUUUACUACACCAAGAGUACAUAGAACUCAGUGUUCAUAGGAGUUACAGUACAACCACCUUUAUUGAACCAUAGUACAACAUCUCAAACCAAUUGUAUUCUUGAAUAUGUAAUACAUCCUUAGGAGUAACUAGUAUAAAAAGUAUCAACAUCAGUGGUUUGAAUAUAAAAAUUUAUUUAAAGUCAGAGUAUGCAACAAAUAAAACCUACAGAAAACAGAUUUUCCCAUCACAAGCUCUUGCUUACCAAAUAAUAUUGUGAAAACACAUUCCUUCAGUCAUUAUAAAGUUCUUAAAAUACAAAAGAAAUUAAAAUUUUGUAAGAAAGUCUAGUAGACCAGAGACUGUUGUUUCUUCCAGGGUAUUUUGUAGAAGCAAGGCUAUCCUUCAAUACAUCCCACGCCAUCCUCCUCCACCCAUACUGCCUUGCCCAUAGUAUCCUCCACUAUUUCCACUGCCACGACUGUAGCCGCCCAAGCCAUCAGGAGUUCCAUAACCGCCACUGUAAUUAUUACCCAUUCCCAUUCUACCAACAGAGCCAUAACCUUGAUCCAUUCCAUCUCUGCCAUAGCCUCCCAUUCCAGAACCACCUCCAGCAGUUGAAUUCAGGAACAGUUCAAUGUAUCGAUGUUGCAUGUGAUUUUUAUCCUUGGACAUAGCAGCUACUGCAUCCUCAUGUGUUACAAAUUCCACAUCUGCCUCGCCUGUGGCUCUUCCAUCUGCCCCAAUAUCAAUGUGAACUCUUAUAGGAUUCAAUGGUGAGAAGAAGUUUGCAAUAUCAUUUUCUGUCGCUCGAAAAGGCAGUCCUCUCAUGUGAACAAAAUGACCGCCACCAUGGAAACCUGAACCUGCAUCUCCAGCUCCAUAACCAUGUCCUCCCAUGCCUCUCCCAUCUCUCAUUCGGUCAUCAUAGCCAUCAUUUCCAUAGCCAUAGUUAUUAUAGCCACCAUAAUCAUCAAAGCCACCAUAUCCACCGUCAUAUCCACCACCUCCUCGACGCAUUCUGUCAUACAUACUUCCACGCCCAGCUCCAUAAUAACCCCCUCUUCCUCCUAAUGGUCUAUCAUAUGGUCCAGGUCGUUGUUGUCCCAUCAUUCUUCUCGGCAUGUCAGAGAAUCCUCUGAUUUCACUCUUACUACUUUUGAAGAUUUCAAUGUAUCUGUGCCCUAUUCUUUCCUUGUGUUUCCCCAGAGCAUUUUCUGCUAUCUCCUUUGAAGCAAACUGCACGAAGGCCUCCCCUGUGCUUCUCCCCUGGUAGUCCAGCGUCAAUGUUAUCCCAUUUGGCACGAUUUCCAACCCUUGGAAAAACUGAACGAUCUCUUCCUUGCUACAGCCGAAGGGCAGGCCUCGGAGCCGCACCACCGUCCCAUCGUUGGUUGUAUCGGUGGGCCCGUUGUGCUUUCCAGUCCAGUCCAUUUUUGUCUAAAUCAAGCGCUCUCCGCUUCGGAACAACCGCCGAGCUCCCUCCCGCCCGUCUCAGGCUUCGGGGCGCGGCCGGCGGCACGCCGUUGAGGCUCGUCGGAUCGGCGGCCGCGUUCGG